AAUAGUUUUUGGGGUACAAGUGUUUUUUGAUUACAUGACAAGAUAUAUGGUGUUGAAAUCUGAGAUUUUAGUGUACUGGUUACCCAAGUAGCGUACAUGGUACCCUAUAUGUAGUUUGUAUCCCUCACCCCCUCCCAACCUCUCCCUUUUGAGUAUUCAAAGUCCAUUAUACCACUCUCUAUGCCUUUGCACACCCAUAGCUUAACUCCCACUUACAAAUGAGAGCACGAAGUAUUUUGUUUUCCGUUCUUGAAUAACUUCACUUAGAAUAACGGCUUCUAGUUCUACCUAAGUUGCUGCAAAAGCAUUUUUUUAAUGACCGAGUAGUAUUCCAUGGUGUAUAUAUACCACAUUUUCUUUAUCCACUCAUUGGUCAGUAGGCAAUUAGGUUGGUUCUGUAUCUUUGCAUUUGUGAAUUGCAAGUGGAACAGUAAUUUGAA